UGCCAUGGUGGAGGCCUAACACAUGCAGUCGAACGGUAACAGGAAGUGCUUGCACUUCGCUGACGAGUGGCGGACGGGUGAGUAAUGCUUGGGAACUUGCCUUUGUGAGGGGGAUAACAGUUGGAAACGACUGCUAAUACCGCAUAAUGUCUACGGACCAAACGGGGCUUCGGCUCCGGCGCAAAGAGAGGCCCAAGUGAGAUUAGCUAGUUGGUAAGGUAAAGGCUUACCAAGGCAACGAUCUCUAGCUGUUCUGAGAGGAAGAUCAGCCACACUGGAACUGAGACACGGUCCAGACUCCUACGGGAGGCAGCAGUGGGGAAUAUUGCACAAUGGGGGAAACCCUGAUGCAGCCAUGCCGCGUGUGUGAAGAAGGCCUUCGGGUUGUAAAGCACUUUCAGUUGUGAGGAAAAGUUAGUAGUUAAUACCUGCUAGCCGUGACGUUAACAACAGAAGAAGCACCGGCUAACUCCGUGCCAGCAGCCGCGGUAAUACGGAGGGUGCGAGCGUUAAUCGGAAUUACUGGGCGUAAAGCGCACGCAGGCGGUUUGUUAAGCUAGAUGUGAAAGCCCCGGGCUCAACCUGGGAUGGUCAUUUAGAACUGGCAGACUAGAGUCUUGGAGAGGGGAGUGGAAUUCCAGGUGUAGCGGUGAAAUGCGUAGAUAUCUGGAGGAACAUCAGUGGCGAAGGCGACUCCCUGGCCAAAGACUGACGCUCAUGUGCGAAAGGUGUGGGUAGCGAACAGGAUUAGAUACCCUGGUAGUCCACACCGUAACGCUGUCUACUAGCUGUUUGUGACUUUAAGUCGUGAGUAGCGAAGCUAACGCGAUAAGUAGACCGCCUGGGAGUACGGCCCGCAAGGUUAAAACUCAAAUGAAUUGACGG
rnacentral:rRNA from 1 species